GAUGAACGCUGGCGGCGUGCUUAACACAUGCAAGUCGAACGAUGAAGCCAAGCUUGCUGGGUGGUUUAGUGGCGAACGGGUGAGUAACACGUGAGUAGACUGCCCUUAACUAUGGGAUAAGCCGGGGAAACUGGGUCUAAUACCGGAUAGGAGCGUCCACCGCAUGGUGGGUGUUGGAAAGAUUUAUCGGUUUUGGAUGGACUCGCGGCUUAUCAGCGUGUUGGUGAGGUAAUGGCUCCCCAAGGCGACGACGGGUAGCCGGCCUGAGAGGGUGACCGGCCACACUGGGACUGAGACACGGCCCAGACUCCUACGGGCGGCAGUAGUGGGGAAUAUUGCACAAUGGGCGCAAGCCUGAUGCAGCGACGCCGCGUGCGGGAUGACGGCCUUCCGGUUGUAAACCUCUUUCUGUAGGGAAGAAGCGAAAGUGACGGUACCUGCAGAAGAAGCACCGGCUAACUACGUG
rnacentral:rRNA from 1 species